rnacentral:rRNA from 1 species
GACGAACGCUGGCGGCGUGCCUAAUACAUGCAAGUCGAACGAGAGCGACCGGUGCUUGCACUGGUCAAUCUAGUGGCGAACGGGUGAGUAACACGUGGGUAACCUGCCCAUCAGAGGGGGAUAACAUCCGGAAACGGAUGCUAAAACCGCAUAGGUCUUCGAGCCGCAUGGCUUGAAGAGGAAAAGAGGCGCAAGCUUCUGCUGAUGGAUGGACCCGCGGUGCAUUAGCUAGUUGGUGAGGUAACGGCUCACCAAGGCCGUGAUGCAUAGCCGACCUGAGAGGGUGAUCGGCCACAUUGGGACUGAGACACGGCCCAAACUCCUACGGGAGGCAGCAGUAGAGAAUCUUCCGCAAUGGACGCAAGUCUGACGGAGCAACGCCGCGUGAGUGAAGAAGGUUUUCGGAUCGUAAAACUCUGUUGUUAGAGAAGAACAAGUGCUAGAGUAACUGUUAGCGCCUUGACGGUAUCUAACCAGAAAGCCACGGCUAACUACGUG